CAGGGAGCCUGAUGUGGGACUCGAUCCCGGGUCUCCAGGAUCAGGCCCUGGACUGAAGGCAGCGCUAAACCGCUGAGCCACCUGGGCUGCCCUAAAAUAUACAUAUUGAGAAUGUGAUAAUUUCAAGUUAUACUUGACUGUAGCUAUGUAAUGAUUCAUUUAUUAAAAUGGAUAAAUGUUCUUCUGUAGGACAUUUAAAUGAAAUACAAAAAAUUAACCCCACCAGAAAACUUCCUAAUUUUCCUCUUAAAAGCCAGAAUUCUAUUUAAGAAUAUAUUCACAAUAAAGUGCUCAUAUCUCAAAUUAGUUAAAUAAGCAUAUGGUAAAUAAUACCACUAAAAUGUCAUUUAAAAGGUAGUUAAACUAUCUGGAAAGUAAUCAGAUUUAUGCUUUGGAAAAAAGAUACCUUAGUAUUUAUGUUAGGUUAUAAUGAAGUACAAGAAUAUAUCAAACACUGUAAUUUGGGAACCAUGUCAGAGUAAAUCCAGGAUUUUUUGUCAUCUGGCAUUUAUGUGUACAUUAAUCUUGCGUAUUGCUUUCCUAUUAUUUUGAAGCAUAAUUACAAAAAUUACACAAUUGGAUUUGAUGUCUAAUGAAUCAGAGCAGUUGAUCUUCUUGAAUCUAUAUUUUGUGUUUCAGUGAGAUAAGUGAGUUCAUCUAAUUACAUUCACACUGACCUCAUUUGUUAAAAAAAAAAAUCUUGGAAGCAUAUGACACUGCAUUGAAUAAUUUCAUUAUUGUUACCAAAUCUUGGCUUUUCCGGACAGAUGUGUACAGUAGAAGUGCUAUGAUACAUAAUGCAUGCAACUGCUUACCUUAGCAUCAGCUUUCACAUGAAAAACUAUUAUACAAAUUCCACUGUUAUCAGAAUGACUCUCUGUGACAAUUCAAACACCUAGGGAAUAAUUUUGCUACAGAUUUUGAUAUGGUAAGGAGCAUUUCCUUCAAAAUAUGCCAUCUUUUAAAUCUUUUAAUCUUAGAAAAUUUGCCAACCUCUAUAUAAACGAUUCUCUAAUCUACAUGGCCACCAUUAAUCUCCUCCCAGAGUUCAAGAUCUGUUGCUUGGAUAUUGCCACUGUGAUGCUCACUGCCAAAUCAAAAUUCAUUUAUUAGAAACAUUAAUACUUUAUGCAAUGCUCAAUUCCCCCCACCUUUUCUUUAUGGACAGUCAAUGGCAUUCUCUUAAUCCCUGAGGUUCAAAAGUAAUUGUUGCUUUCCUGUAUUUUUAAAAAUCCACUUAGUCCACAAGUAUAGUUACAGCUUUCUCUCCAAUAUACCACUUCUCCAUUUUCAUUGCCAUUUCCUUAAAUAAGGCCUUCACUAAUUUAUAUGUAAACUUAAGUUCCAUGGGAAAAAUGCAAACCUGUUUAAAAAUUAUAUCCUUAUACUGUUCAAGUUCCCAUCCACAGCCUAAAAAUCUUAAUCAACCUUUAAAUUCAAGUAUAUGAUGAAUAAUCCUUCAAAAUCAUAGUUAGCUCAAAUAAAAAGAUAUAGUAAAAAUAGUCAAACAAAUGAAUGCAAAAUUAACUAAUUUUUUCAGACAGUAUAAGUUAUUUUCCCAAUUUGCUAUGUUAAAAUGUCAAACAGGGCAAAAAACUGAGGAGAAAUGAAUAAUAUGGAAGUUAGAUAAUAAGAUACACAUGUUUUCAAUUCUUUCUGGAAGAAGAUAUAGUAAAAAUGAAAGAAAGUAGAAAGGAAAUUAGGGAUAAUUAACUUUGUGAAGUGUUUAUAUACACUAUUUGUAAUAUUAUAUGUGUGUGAUAUGUAAUAUAGAGUAUUGCAAAGGCCUUAUAAUUGGCUCUUCUACCUGCUGGUACAUGUCUUCUACAAUCUAUCUUGUAUCA
rnacentral:lncRNA from 1 species